AUCAGUUUCGCCGUGUCACCGGGUCUUCGUGGAAAGCUAGAGUCAAUAAAAGCAUAACCACCAGCUGUGGCACGAUCACUGGAACUGUCCAUUGCUGGCCCGGUCGUGGGAUUUCCGCUUCCGCGACUCUGAAAAUGUGUUUUCUCGAGUCGCAAAAACCACCGGCGAAGUUGCAGAAUCCAAUACAUGAUGUACCAGAUUGCAAAUCUAUGUCAUCGAUGGCAAUAUAUCCACGGUAGAGACGCGAAGGGUCUGUGGAAUCCACUGGAACGCCUUCAAUAAUCACCUAAUUGUCAAGAUUUUGCCUGAGAUUUACAGAGAUAUUUAUAAUAACAAACUAUAACACAAAUAGAUAUAGAAUUACAUUUUGGAAAAGACAUGGAAUUACAUUUGGAUAGACAGAAGAAUUACACUUUUUGAGAAAGAAUAACAAUUUGUUGAAUUUAUAUAAUUCUGGAUUUCAUAAAGUCAUAUAAUUUUGACAAAUAUAACAAAAAUGUAUAUAAUAUAGUUUUGAAUGAAUUUGGAUACUUCUAUAAUUAUUUGUAUUAAUUUAUAUUUAUUUGUAUUAAAUUGCUCGUCAAACUAUCACAUUUUGGAUGUUGAAUCCUCACUACAUCAUUCACAGAUAGUGGCUAUAAAAAUAACUUUCUAAGAGAACAAACUUGUUGCUGUCAAUUAAAUCCUGUCAUGUAAUUGUGAUUUUAAUCUAUAUUAAUCAAUAGCAUUUUGUCGUAUUUACUGUUUAAAUCUUUAAUUGAAUUAUAAUAAUGUACCGAAUGUAA